rnacentral:rRNA from 1 species
CAGCCGCCGCGGGAAUACGAAGGGGGCUAGCGUUGCUCGGAAUCACUGGGCGUAAAGGGUGCGUAGGCGGGUUAUUAAGUCAGAGGUGAAAUCCUGGAGCUCAACUCCAGAACUGCCUUUGAUACUGAUAGUCUUGAGUAUGGGAGAGGUGAGUGGAACUGCGAGUGUAGAGGUGAAAUUCGUAGAUAUUCGCAAGAACACCAGUGGCGAAGGCGGCUCACUGGCCCAUAACUGACGCUGAGGCACGAAAGCGUGGGGAGCAAACAGGAUUAGAUACCCCCGUAGUCCCUGUCUCUUAUAA